CGUUCUUCCAGAGGAAUGGCUGUAUAGCAGUCACGCUAUGCUAGCAAAUAUCAGGUAAUUCUAGAUACUGAAAUAGAGGCAGUGGACCAAACUGCUAGACCCCCUUCGUGACAAAUGUGUUAUGAUAGCCACCUCCAGAAGUGUUUCAAAUUGAAAUGGCUUCAGUUGAAGAAAGAUGACUAUCGAGAACACCCACAUACACCACAGAUGGGGACGUUAAACUAGCAGUUUAUUUCUCAGAUCACCUCUCACAUUUAACUGUAUUCAAUAUAAUUUUAAUGAAAUUUGAACUAUUAAAAUGCAAUGAAAUUCAGUGUCUGAGGGA
ensembl:lncRNA